UACGGAGGAUGCGAGCGUUAUCCGGAUUUAUUGGGUUUAAAGGGUGCGUAGGCGGACUGUUAAGUCAGCGGUAAAAUUGAGAGGCUCAACCUCUUCCCGCCGUUGAAACUGGUGGUCUUGAGUGGAUGAGAAGUACGCGGAAUGCGUGGUGUAGCGGUGAAAUGCAUAGAUAUCACGCAGAACUCCGAUUGCGAAGGCAGCGUACCGGCGCCCAACUGACGCUGAAGCACGAAGGCGUGGGUAUCGAACAGG
rnacentral:rRNA from 1 species